GGAACCAACCACGACCUUUGGAGUCCGAUUGGGGAUGGUCGUCGUGCUGAAUCCGACGGUAAAUAUUCUCAACUACAGGUUGAUUUGGGCCCCAAUGCAAUGCCGAUCGAUUGUUUUGUGUUCCCCUUGGGUGGAGUUGACUUGAUUCUAGGCAUAGCAUGGUUAGAGACACUGGGGGAUGUCACGUGGAAUUGGGCA